rnacentral:misc_RNA from 1 species
GUUUUUUUUGUGUAUGUAUUUAUUAUUAUACAGAUUAAAUUUUUAAUAUAUUUAAAUUAUUUUGUUGAUAAUGUGCAACCACCAUUCAUGUCUUUCAUUACUGGUUUGAAGAGAUUAACUAUAUUUUAAUUGUAUAUUUUUUAUUUAUAAAACAAAAAGUAGAAUAUUUUUUGUGUUUUUUGACGUACAGUUGUAGAAAUGCACAGAAAUCGUAGGGAUUAAUAUCAUUGUGUGAGAAAUGAAACUAUUUUGAAUGAACUGACAUGUGAUUCUUCAAAGGAAAAAAAAGUCACCAAUACAAUUAUAGCUCUUGAUGUUCUUAAUUGCUUAGAGUGAUGUGCUAACUCAGCUAGAGUCCUGUACAGUAGUAGCCAAGUGCACAGCAAAUCUUGUAGACAUAAAAAAGACCGAAACUAGAGAGUUGUUGUUGCCCCCAGAUACUUAACACCUUAACACCUGUAGUUUGCUGUUGUAUUUGGUCUACCUGUAUCAGGAACCUGGCCCCAAUCUCCCAUCCCUUGCUUUGUAUUCCAUGACAAAAUGUUCACAUAUAUUAAAGCUGUUUUCCAC